rnacentral:rRNA from 1 species
GUGUCAGCCGCCGCGGUAAUACGGAGGGUGCAAGCGUUAAUCGGAAUUACUGGGCGUAAAGCGCACGCAGGCGGUUGGAUAAGUUAGAUGUGAAAGCCCCGGGCUCAACCUGGGAAUUGCAUUUGAAACUGGCAGGCUAGAGUACUGUAGAGGGGGGUAGAAUUUCAGGUGUAGCGGUGAAAUGCGUAGAGAUCUGAAGGAAUACCGGUGGCGAAGGCGGCCCCCUGGACAGAUACUGACACUCAGAUGCGAAAGCGUGGGGAGCAAACAGGAUUAGAUACCCCCGUAGUCC